UUUGAGUUGAUGAUUAGCAAGGAC
rnacentral:siRNA from 1 species